UACAGGGGGGCUCGAGCGUUACGCGGAAUCACUGGGCUUAAAGGGUGCGUAGGUGGCUCGCAAAGCAUUACGUGAAAAGCCCCCGGGCUCAACCCGGGAAUUGCGCGAUGUACUGGCGAGCUUGAGGUAUGUAGGGGUUGACGGAACAGUGGGUGGAGCGGUGAAAUGCGUAGAGAUCCACUGGAACGCCGAUGGUGAAGACGGUCAACUGGGCAUAUCCUGACACUGAGGCACGAAAGCGUGGGGAGCAAACAGG
rnacentral:rRNA from 1 species